GACCAACUGUGCUGGUGUGCCUGGGACUGAGGGGUCACCUGGGACUUUGGCGUAUUUGAUGCUAAAAGUGGGAAAGU
rnacentral:miRNA from 1 species